CGGAGGAGCAUGUGGUUUAAUUCGAUGAUACGCGAGGAACCUUACCUGGGCUCGAACGUAAGAUGACUGUAGGUGAAAGCUUACAUCUCUUCGGAGCAUUUUACGAGGUGCUGCAUGGUUGUCGUCAGCUCGUGUCGUGAGAUGUUGGGUUAAGUCCCGUAACGAGCGCAACCCUUGUCCUUAGUUACCAGCACGUUAUGGUGGGCACUCUAAGGAGACUGCCGGUGACAAACCGGAGGAAGGUGGGGAUGACGUCAAGUCAUCAUGGCCCUUAUGUCCAGGGCGACACACGUGCUACAAUGGCCGGCACAACGGGAAGCGAAGGGGCGACCCUGAGCGGAUCCCACAAAAGCCGGUCCCAGUUCGGAUUGCAGUCUGCAACUCGACUGCAUGAAGUUGGAAUCGCUAGUAAUCGUGGAUCAGCCAAGCCGCGGUGAAUACGUUCCCGGGCCUU
rnacentral:rRNA from 1 species